GCUGCCGUGACUCGGCUCGUCUCGAACGUCUCAGUGUGCCCCGCUCGUCGGCGUCAACAGUGUGAUAGGUAUCUUCACUGUGUGGCCUCUCCGGAGGCGCGCCUUCGGAUCGCGGAUCGGUCACGCUUCCAACCGUCUUUGGACRAUUCUGACAAUUUGACCUCAAAUCGGGUGGGACUACCCGCUGAACUUAAGCAUAUCAAUAAGCGGAGGAAAAGAAACUAACAAGGAUUCCCCUAGUAACGGCGAGUGAAGAGGGAAAAGCUCAAAUUUUGAAUCUGGUGUCUUUGGCGCCCGAGUUGUAAUCUAGAGAAGUGUUUUCCGCACCGGACCGUGCAAAAGUUCCCUGGAACGGGGCGUCAUAGAGGGUGAGAAUCCCGUACAUGGCACGGACUACCGGCGCUCUGCGAUACACUCUCAACGAGUCGAGUUGUUUGGGAAUGCAGCUCAAAAUGGGUGGUAAAUUCCAUCUAAAGCUAAAUACAGGCGAGAGACCGAUAGCGAACAAGUACCGUGAGGGAAAGAUGAAAAGCACUUUGGAAAGAGAGUGAAACAGUACGUGAAAUUGUUGAAAGGGAAGCGUUUGAAGUCAGUCGCGUCUGUCGGGAUUCAGCCUGGCUUCUGCCCGGUGUACUUCCCGGCGGACGGGUCAGCAUCGGUUUCGACCGAGAGAAAAGGGCUUGGGGAAUGUGGCUGCCUUCGGGCAGUGUUAUAGCCUCUUGUCGUAUGUCUCGGUCGGGACCGAGGACUGCAGCGUGCCUUA
rnacentral:rRNA from 1 species